ACAACUCCAAUACUUAAUCAAGUGGAAAGGCUACCGGUUAUCAGAGGCAUCUUGGGUAAAGAGUAGGAAUGUCCAGGCCAAUCACCUUAUAGUAAGAUUCCAUGCAGAAAAUCCAACCAAGCCUGGUGGGGGGGUGUCGCAACCCUAAAUUCUAUACCUGCACUCAACUUGUUUUUGCUCUGCACAGGGGUAAUUACUUUA